CGACGAGCACUACCAGGGCGCGCCCUGGCGGCGGGGACCCUCCGCUCCGCACCGGAGGCCGCCGCGCUCCGCGCACGCGCGUCUCUGAGGGCUCCGGGCCUCCCGGCACUGCGGCGGCCGGCGGGGACGGGGAGCGGGGCGGCGGGGACGAGGGCCCGGGGCGGCGGGGACGGGGAGCGGGCCGGCGGGGAGGAGGGCCCGGGGCGGCGGGGACGAGGGCCCGGGGCGGCGGGGACGGGGAGCGGGCCGGCGGGGAGGAGGGCCCGGGCCGGCGGGGACGGGGAGCGGGCUGGCGGGGAGGAGGGCCCGGGCCGGCGGGGAGCUGGGCGGCGUCACGGCUCCGCAAUCGCGCGGCACCUCGGCCAGGCGCAGGCCCCUCCUGCCCACCCCACCCGGGAACCCGCGCAAGAUGGCGGGCGGCACAGACAGGGACGGCGCUGGGGAGACGCCGGCGGAGGAGGGGCCGCCCUGGGCCUGCAGCCUUCCCUCCCCGUCCCCGCCCCCCCCCCCCCCCCCCCCCCCCCCCCCCCCCCCCCCCCCCCCCCCCCCCNNNNNNNNNNNNNNNNNNNNACCCCGUCCUCAUCUCCCGCCCCCGAGUUCCCCCACCCUCCCAUGCUCCCUCGCCUCCUCCCCGGUCCUCGUUCUCCCCCUCCCCAUCCUCAUCCUCCCCCUUCUCUCCCCGCCCCCUCCCCGGUCCUCCACCCCCGCCCCCGAGUUCCCGCCUUCCCAUGCUCUCUCGCCCCCUCCCCGGUCCUCGUGCUCCCUCUUCCCCCCCCGCCCCCUCCCCGGUCCUGGUGCCCCCGCCCCCGCCCUCCCCCGGAGACCGAGCCGGGUGCCCGCGCCGGCAGCCUCCGGGCUUUGAGGGGGCCGCUGGCCGCCGGAACCGGGGGGAGCUCGCCCGCGGGUGGGCUCGGUUUGCGCGCGGCCUCCGGCCGCCCUCCGCCAGCGCCCGGCCCCCCGGGGUCUGGUCUUGGAACACAACCACAGGCCAACAAAGACGACAGGGCGACACGGGCGGGCGGCGGGCCGCAGGACCGCGGUUUGCUGCGCAGAGAGGGAACCACACGUGCGUGUGCAAGACUCUUGGGUCGUGUAACUCAGCGGGAUGCUUCCAAGCCUGAUCCUUGGCCCCCGUCCUCUGUUAGUGCCUCAGAAAUAGUGGUCGGUGGCAGGCUCAUCGCAAAACACCGAAAAAGCCGUAAAACUGUAGAGAGAUAG
rnacentral:lncRNA from 1 species